CUUGUGCCACGGUGGCCCAAAUGUCAGUCAACCAGACAUGUCUUCUGAGAGGUAAGUUUUUGAAAAAUACUAGACUUUUCUCAAAUGUAUUUCUUUACAGGAAUAAAAAGAAAGCUAAUUUUGCAUGAGCAUGCAGGAAGUCUGCAGACAGACAUUCUACAUAGUCCCUUGGGGACUCAGUAGAAGUGGAAUCAAGACCAACCCAAGCCCAACAAGGCAGCUCCGCUGGUUAAUGCCUCCCAGAUCUGUCAUCUGUGAUAAAGAGCCUCGCUGUAGCUGAGGAGCUGGCCAAGAACCUUUCCCAGUUAGCCAAGUUCGUGAAGAAGUCACAUGUGGUGAAUAUAUUAUCAUCAGAAUGCGGAGCAAUGAAAUGUAAACAGAUAGGAAUCGUCACUAAAGCUCCAACUGCAGCCUCCGGGUGCCAUAGCUUUUGCACCAUCCAUUUGCACCAUCUCUGCAGUAAGUCCUAGCUCAAGCCUUACUCCAAAGUACAAAUUAGCAUAGCAGCUCAGUCAACAAUGCCUCCGAGCUUCUGGAAAGAAAGAUGCUCAGUCACCAUAGACCCAGAAUUAAUGAAAAGUCACAGAAAUAAUAGCUCCAUUCUCUACUUGCUUCUGAACCUCAAAUCAGUGGUUGGCAACAAGUUGCUCUCAAUCACUGCCACGAGUCUGGUGAUGCGCUAAGCUCGGGGCAGGAUCUCAAGGGCUUUGAGGAUGUCUGCAUCAUCUGUAUUGACCUGCUCCCCAGAUUAAUACCGAAGCACUGCAAUUUCUUGAGGAUUAUCCACCUAGGAGGAAAUGAUACGCUGGCCCAUCCAUAGUAGUCAAGAAACAGUCUGAGAUCCAAAAAGUGGCUUAAAAGAGGGAAAAGUUAAUCAAAAUGUCUGUGAAGCUCUGGCUUCAGUCUCUCCAGCGAGGCUUUCUGAAGCACAGCUCUGAUAGAACUAAACCCAAUGAGACACCGCCUACAAGAGGAAUCCAGCGUGUGAACGAAGACUAAAAAGCAAAACAGCAGCGUCUGGAGUGGACAGCUUCUCUCACUCAGAGAACUGUAGCCUCAAAUUCCUGGCAGAGGUUUCUUGGAAGAGAAGAAUGAGAUUGGAUCUGAGAAAAUGUGGCUGGUAAUGAACUCUACGAAGGGAUUUUUAUACUCUCUCUUUGGCAGUCCAUCCUGUGAAAUAAUAAUGAGGUUGGAGGAUGGCUGCUAACCAUCCCUUGCUUUUCCGUGCCAGGGAACCACCAUCUCAGAUGGUAGAAACCACUCAGAAGGAUCAACUGCUGCAGACGGGAAGAGGAGCAACCUCGUGAAUAAUUUCGUGACAGGAUAUUGCAGGAGGGACUUUGUCCAAAUGUGUGCAGGGUAGUUGGCUACAGCAACAAGGAUGACGAACACAGAUGAAUUGAUCAGGAUGUAACCAUUCAAAGUUGAGAGGAUUAGAGGACUUCUCCGAGGCGGCUCCAAUGGAUGCCAGCAGAGUUAAAGUGUCCAAUGGAGAGAAGAGAAGGCUUGGGAAAUCCAGAGUCCAUUCAUUCAUCGCCCUCCUCCUAGAACAACAAAAGCGAGCCCCAGUACUCAUCAGCAUGGACUCUGUGUGUAGUCAUCUCCCUUAGUUUCAGAGGUUCCUGCCUACAGCAAAACUUUAGAGGCUUAGAGUUUAACGGUCAUAGCUUAUUCACCUCCAACUGUGUCCUAGUUCAAGAGAAACACUUCACAUAUCUGUAGGGAGAAGAUAAUGAACCAAGGAUACAAGUUAAGCCUUAGCUAAGACCUGUUACUCAGGAAAAAGAGCUAAAACAAGCUGCUUAGAUCAGCACCAAUGUUAGGUAGAGAGAAAAAGAAACGCUGCAUAGAAAUCUUAAGGUUCACAUGUGCUCCAGGCUGGGUCAACAACUUCUAAUUUCCUUUGCCAACCAACCAUGUCUUUGACAGAAAUGAUCCUUCUACAUAGACCACAGAGGGAUCCAAUGGAGGUUUCUCUUCCUGAAUUUGGGGAUUCAGAAUCUGGACAAAUUCCUUUCCAUCAAAGUCCAGUACAAAAGUAGUACCAUGGCAGUCCCUGCAGGGACUUGCAUCACUUUCCCUAGAGAUAUCAAGAGAAUUUUUAGUGAUAAGAAUAUGGCACAAAAUGAGAAAUCCCAUUACUCUUAAGAGAAUCUCUUCCUUCUCAAAGGCACCUGAUUAAUACAUAUAGUACUAUCAGUAAGGCUGAGCAAAAGGAUACUGAUGUUCUGAGUGAUCUUAAAUCAUGUAAUAAUAACUUUAUUCGUAGUAUAGAACGGAAUAUUCCCUAUUAGUAAUCAGUUCCUUUGCCAGAUCCUCAUAGUAUCUUAGUCACUGUUUUAUUGUUAUGAAGAGAAACUUUGACCACAGCACCUCUUAGAAAAAAGGAAGCAUUUAAUCGGGACUUCCUUAUGGUUUCACAGUUUUACAUAAUUGUCAACAUGGCAGAGAACAUGGGGGCACGCAAACAGACAUGGUGCUGGAGAAGUAGCGGAGAAUAUACAGCAACAUAUAGAUACAAAAUAUAGAUACAUAUAGAUACAGAAUAUAGAUACAUAUAGCUACAUAUAGAUCUGCAGGCAGCAGGAAGAGACUGGGACAAGGCCAUACCUUCUAAGGCUUCUCAAGGAGUGUCACUUCCUGAUGACCAAGCAUUCAAGUGUAUGAGCUUAUGGGAGCCAUUCUUAUUCAAGCCACCACACAUAGCAAAGCUGAUAAUGUCAUUUUCUGAAUUAACCAGGCCAAGGCACACUUCUUAGCAACAUGGUUACCUGGUAACCAGAGAUUUUUCUCAUCCCAUGAGAGAUUUCAUUCAAGAACUGAUCUUCUAACAGUUUUGUCUCUCUUAAGAAUGCUACAGACAGGGUGGGGUGAGGCACAGUGCUGAAGCCCCUCAAGUUUCCCAGAGGGAUGAGUCCAUGAAAGACGAAAAUCAUGUGGUCACACUGAGCAUAGACUUCACAAGCAUCAUGCUAGGAUUCCAUUUUCUUUCUCAACACAAUGAUAAAUUCUUCUUCCAAUAAGCAGAAAAUCAUCCAAUGGGAAAAAAAAAUAAAACCAACUAACUUGCAGUCCUUUGGAACAGUUUCAUAGCUUACAGGAUGGCUUCAUAACCCUGGGGACACUCGUUUUGACAUGAAAACUUCCUUCAGAACAGGAAUUCUGAUCCAACAUGUGCUCAGACAUCAUUUCAGUCACUUGCAAAUGAACAAGAAAGCUCAUGUAAAUGAGGAGGCUCAACUCCCAGGCCUGGUGAGUGGGUAAGACAUUCCUCUGCUGGGUUUUGAAGGCUGUCUGAAACCAUCGGCUGACAUCCUUCUCUGUGUGCAUGUAUGCACUAUCUACGGGAAAUUCAGCUCCAACCGGUUGUCUCUACAGCUCCCUUAAUCUUCUCCUCCCUCCUCCUGGCAUUGGCAUGUGUCCCAGGACUGCAGCGAGGAGUGCUUACCAACAAAGGUGCUGGCAUCUGCAUUUGUUUCACAGCCACAAACCUAAUGGUUCCAUGAUUUUGGCGAGCAAAACUGUCAAAAUGCCUGAGCACAAGAGAUCACAAGAUGAGCCAAGGCAUAGUGUGCAUGCCUUCCUUCCCAGCACUCGGAAGGCAGAGGCAAGGGGAUCUCUGUGGGUUCAAGGCCAGCCUGAAUCACAAGGUGUACUGGGGAUUCUUUUUUAUUGUUUUCCUUUUGCUAUCUGGAAUAGUUUGAGAUUGUAUUUGAUCAGUGCAUUAAACAAC
rnacentral:lncRNA from 1 species